UAGGGAAUAUUGGACAAUGGGGGAAACCCUGAUCCAGCAAUGCCGCGUGAGCGAUGAAGGCCUUAGGGUUGUAAAGCUCUUUUACCCGGGAUGAUAAUGACAGUACCGGGAGAAUAAGCCCCGGCUAACUCCGUGCCAGCAGCCGCGGUAAUACGGAGGGGGCUAGCGUUGUUCGGAAUUACUGGGCGUAAAGCGCACGUAGGCGGCGAUUUAAGUCAGAGGUGAAAGCCCGGGGCUCAACCCCGGAAUAGCCUUUGAGACUGGAUUGCUAGAAUCUUGGAGAGGCGAGUGGAAUUCCGAGUGUAGAGGUGAAAUUCGUAGAUAUUCGGAAGAACACCAGUGGCGAAGGCGGCUCGCUGGACAAGUAUUGACGCUGAGGUGCGAAAGCGUGGGGAGCAAACA
rnacentral:rRNA from 1 species